UCUGUGCUUGGUUUCUAACCUCAGGCUUAUCCCUGCUAGCAAAACUACGGUUGGUUUUCUUACCAGUGUUGACAGGAUGAAAAUACCUUGGUGCUAAGUGCCACUUCUUUCACAGGAAGAGACUCUUCACAUCUGCAGCAGACAUUGAAGAGACAAACGUUACUUCAGAUAACUUCAGUGACAGAACAGGGCAGAAGAGUGAUGGGUUCAGGAAAGCACGCCAGUUCCUCAGCUGCAGUACUACUAUGCUAUUCAUCUCCAUAAAGAGCUCUUUCGAAAGUAUUAUUAAACAGCAGGAAGGAAUGGUGUAUGACAGCUUCAUUAGUCACUACGAGCCAAACCUGGCCGCUUUCUGCUGGGGAUUAUUAGCACAUUCCAAAACAUCCUUGGGUUGAUGGCAUCCAAAAUCUUUUUUUUUUCCCCUUCAAAUGUAUGGAAUGUAGCCAAAUCUCAGUUUGAAAAUCCUGCUAUCAAGUCCUCUCUAGGCUGGGUUAGGCUGUAUUUGUGAAGGAAACACAGACUCCCUCCUUGGUCAUAAGAGUCCAGAAGCAUUGCAAUGGGUGAUUUGAAAUACACAGACACAGGAAAUUAUUUUGUAGAAGUGCAGAAUGUGAUGUUCCCAAAAUGGCAAAUGUUCAUCCCACGUUACUACAUCCUCUAGGUACCAGAUACAGAACUUUAAGACCUUUUUGCACGUUUGUGUUGUGUUCACGAAAGGUACAUCCAGAAGGCAAGAUGCUCUGAUUUAAGGAUGCUUAUGAUCUCACUGAGAUCAGUAAAUGUGGGGUUUGGAGCUAGCAUGGCAUUUCAGGCUCUGUGUUGCUCUGAGAUCAGUUCUAUUUUAAGUGUGAUACUUCUGAAUCUUCCUUAAUAGGACCAUAAGCUACAGGAUAAGUGUGAUAUGCAGAACUGAACUCUUGUGUAAGUCUGUUGCUUGAUUUAUUGCUCUUCUGAAAUUAUCCCAAGCUGUUUAUAAAGUGAAUAAACUGACUAAAGAAAAGUAGAGUAAACAAAAUCGGUGAAAAUCCGGAUGUGGCAUGAAUGCUUUAGCUAGCUUUGAUUCCAAGAAAGCACUGUCUAAAAUCAAGUUCCUUGGUACUGAAGCUUUACUGAGCAAUGAAGUCCAGGGAAUUGACGGAACUCAUAUUUAAAAACGCUGUAUACGAAGAAGUGUUUCACUGUCUGUGUGUUUCUAAUUUCCUGUAUAUUUGUAAAAAUAAUCUCGUAAUACACAGUUAUUUAUGCUUUUCUACCCACACGGAACAAAAUAUUUUACAGAUAAUGCCAUUCAUAAUUAGCAGCAAGCCAGCAAAUGCCUGGUGCUUGAGUGGUGAUGACUUAAUGUACACUUGUGAGCUCAGCCAAACCCCUGGUUUGACUAAACCAACUUAUGGCAAUGAGGCGGCAGAGGAGCAUGCCUCUAUGGGCUUUUGAUAACCCUGACAGUUACUAUCUCUGGGACCCUCCGGCUACCAGUAACAGCUGAGGUCCUUCUAAGUGGAUCACAGGAGGCAAUUCUCUUCCAACCUUUUUGUUUUAUUUUAUGUAUUUGGUGUGAGUCAGUUUUGGGGGCUUUUGAGGGCUCUUCCUUGCAAGCAUUAUCAUGGUGACAGCCUUGAAGCCAAUAU
ensembl:lncRNA